CUCUGUGUGUGGACUUCAGUGGAACUCUCAGGUCACAGAGAUUCAGGGUGGUCAGAGGCGGUUUGAUGUUUUGGGGAGAAAGAACAGCCGUGAAGGAUUCUGUGAUGCAGGAGAAGGUGGGAGGCCUCAGGACAGAAUCAGCAGGUCACCAUGCUUUCCUGCGUCAUCCACCUGUGGGCCUCUAAUGUGUUUCUAUGAAGUUUGCAUUAAAGUUUCAGCCACUAUUUUUCAGAAACAUGGUCAACCUCUCCUUCCCUCCUCUAUCUGCUGAUAGAGUUCUACAGAAAACAAGGGAAUGACUUGAGGAGGGGGAUUCUGAAGGUUGUUGGUGGAUUCCUAGAAUGUAGCCCGCAGAACUGUGCCUGGAACGAUACCGGAUCACUGCAAAAGUACAGCGAACAGGGUCGCUUUGAAUAUUAAAGGAGGACUUUUUCAAAGUGUAUAGAGAGCAGUCAAAAGAUCGCCACAGUUGCUCUGUGUUUUCGUGAGCCAGCUUUCUCGGAAGGUGAGCUGGUUCCGCUCUGCCUGGGUUUACUGUUUCAGAGGAGUGGUUCUCAGCUGCCGGACUGGCAUAGUCCUGUGUUCACACAGUUUCCUAAUCCUGAAACCAGCAAUCACAAAGUCAGUUCCUCAUCAAGAGAUCAAAGUCAUUCAUUUUGGAUACAAUCAUAUUUUCAGGCUAAAGGGAAGGUUGGGAAGGUCAGGCAUUAGAAUGCUGGAGGAGUGUCCUUGGCAGAGAAGGACUAAGCCAGUGGAUCACAAACAUCCUGGAGAGCAGUGACUCUGUGAUUCCAUCACAAGAAUAUGAAGGACUGAGAAGAUCUCCAGCUCUGCCCAUUGCACCUUCCCAUUGAGAAGCAGCAUGGCACCCUGGUGGCAGGGGCUGAUACUCAGCCGGGCCAGGGUGCUCUCCUGUUAACCAUAACCAAGCUCACAGGACAUGGGAUGAGCCCACUGUGUGACACAGGGAGCGGGACACAGUCUGUUAAGUCUUGCACAGCCAUGCUCUGCCACGCAGGCAGGCCUUUCCUUGGCCUCCCUCUCCCUGUUCGUGCUCAUGUGAACAUCCACCUACGUGGAUAGACUGGGCUUUGGUUCAUUAUUGCUCUGUGAAUUCCUCGAACUUCCGCAUCUGCCCAACCUCCCCCACCCCAUUGUUUUCAUUGUGUUUCACCAAAUGGAAAUUCUAGAGUAAGCAUGUGAGUCCUCUCCCAAACUUGUUCACUGUUGAGAGUGCUAAAAUGCUAACCCCAGAUGCUAACUGAGGGGUAGGGUUACCUUAUCUUUAGAGCACUGCGAAUUGUAUGUUAAGUGGAACUUAAUGAAAAAAUAGUUAAUUGACCAACAUGAAUAUCCCCUGAACAGAAUCUCCCCUGAACAGAAUCCUACAAUGAAACUAAGGGAGAUAAAUAAAGCUGUUUACCUGAAAGCUCUCUCUAAUCAAGAUCCUUUGAAAUUUAUAAAACAUGGUCAAUAUUUGCACUGGACUUUGUAAAAAUAAAGCUUGAUAAGAGAAGAGUUUGAAGUGAAA
rnacentral:lncRNA from 1 species